UCAUUUUUAAAUAUUUCUGCACAAAAUUUUGUGUUUUGGGCAUUUGGCGAAAAUUGAAAGAUAAAAAUUGCUAUCUUAUGAAUAAAUUUUGAUACCAGGGCACAGUGAACCAGGAAGCAACUAGUCCGAGUCAAUGGACAGGGACGGGAUGAUACUUAUUGACUUGUUCAUCCACUUGUAAAAAGCCGUUUUAAAAGGACCAAAUAUAAAAUGGGCCUUUUUGAUAAUUUGAGCCUAGCCGGUGUCAAGUUACUUGACUUGCACGAGAAAAUCCAUGAACUCGUGGCAGUUUACCGAAUCUUUGGUUUUUGCAUUAAGUAUUUUAAAUUAACACGUUGUCACCAAUAUGUGUUCAUUAUUUCUACAAUUCAACAAAGCGAUCUUCAUUACUGACGGAUUUAUGCAUUUACAUUACACCCCCUGUACGUCGAUAAUCCAAACUGAGUAGGAUAAUUCAAACUGAAGAAAAAAUGGCGACAGAAAUAAAUACUCCAGUCAUUUAUUUCUAGGAAUACGUUUAUUGAAGGUAAAACAGAAGAUAAUGGAAAACAACAGAUGUUAUUAUUGUACAGAGUCCUUUAAAUGCCUGAAAGAAAUACUAAUCCAUAACACAACUAACCAUUACGUAGAAAAAAUAAAAAUUAGAGAACUUACCUUAGAUGAAACAAUCGGCAAAUGAGUUAUCGGACAAAAAUAAAUGCUGAUAUUACUCCACAAAACAUAGACGAACAACAGCAGCAACUCACUAUUGAAAAUGACGUUAUCAAAGUAUAUAUAAGUAUAAGUAUAAUAUAUAAUGAAUCAGAUCAGUAAUGCCUCAAAUAAUAUUCGAAACCUCUAAUAUGGUGACAAAUACAUGCAUCAGCAGGGCAAGUGCCACUUUAACCUGCAGCUUCAACUCGAAUCCAUUUAAAUCAAGUGAUUAAAUCAUAAGUAGGAAUAUUUUAAAAAAGUACGUGAAUGCAAAUUUCGCAUGCUUAUUUUGCUUCUAAUCUCAAUUGUAUAUAUAUGCAAGUUCUGUUGAAAUUGUUUUCAUUAUAACAAAUAAAUGAAUGUGGAUGUUC